CAAUAGCGUAUAUUUAAGUUGCUGCAGUUAAAAAGCUCGUAGUUGGAUUUCGGGUGGGAAUGGCCGGUCCGCCGUUUCGGUGUGCACUUGCUACGCCCACCUUGCUGCCGGGGACGUGCUCUUGAGUUCACGCUCGGGACACGGAGUCGGCGAGGUUACUUUGAGUAAAUUAGAGUGUUCAAAGCAGGCCUACGCUCUGAAUACAUUAGCAUGGAAUAACACGAUAGGACUCUGGCCUAUAUUGUUGGUCUGUAGGACCGGAGUAAUGAUUAAGAGGGACAGUCGGGGGCAUUCGUAUUUCAUUGUCAGAGGUGAAAUUCUUGGAUUUAUGAAAGACGAACUACUGCGAAAGCAUUUGCCAAGGAUGUUUUCAUUAA
rnacentral:rRNA from 1 species